UUAAACAUCAAAGGAUUCCCUACGUCUGCAGGGUAAGAUGCUUGAGAGACGACCACAUGCUGCUUUGGAUUUUGGGUAAACGGUGGACAGUCGAAAGUUUUAGAAUUUUUCUACUGAAAGCUUGAUUCAACUCACACCCUCUUUCAUCUCUCUUUAUUUUCGCGUGGUUCUUCGACUUUCUCGCUGUUGCUGAUUUGUGUUUUAUCUCUCGGUGAGUUCAGUUCACGCUGUAUUAUUUCGAUUUUCCUUCUGAUUUUGUCAUAGUUGUUGACGGAGGUGACAAUUAUGGCUGCCCAUGGGCUGAUUCGCCAUGGAUGGUGGUUUUGAUAACUUGAAAGUUAUGUUGGGGGAUAAAAUUAUUUCUUUGAUUUACCAAAAAGCUAGAACAAACCCAGUUAGUCUGCUUCCCUGUUUUUCUAUUUGUCUCGAAAAUCGGCGACUUUGUUAAUGGGUCAUUUGAGGUGUUUUUCGCUCUUGGGUUUACUGUUGAUUUAUGGCAUGCAAUUGGUUCGUAAUAUCUGCGGCAACCCUGAAGUCAGGAAGAUGUUUGGACAUCAAACUUCUGUCAACCACAUAACAUUUGAUUUGCAAAAUCAAGGCAUGUGGUAGGAUAACAAUCAGCUGAUCUGAAGGUAUAUCGUUGUUAGUAUCAUAUGGUAACUACUCGAGGUGUUCAGCUGAUCUGAAUGUAUAUCAAUUAUCUAAAGGACAAUGAUCAUGGAAUGCUAUUUACAGUGAGAAAGGGAAGUGAUCACUUCCUCCAAUGCAAGUACCAUCAGAAUGCAUCAAUUAAAAAGAGAAAAAAUAACUUCAUGGUAGAGCUUGCGGACUUAGUCAACUGCAGUUUCCCUGUAGCAACAUAACAUCUGAAUUAGCCGACAUUGAUUGGGACAACAUUGCCUUUGGCUUUGGCUUUACGCCUACUGAUUGUAUGUAUGUCAUGAAAUGUUCUGAAGGGGAAAACUUUUCUAAGGGUGAAUUACAGCGUUUCAGUAACAUUGAGUUGAGCCCAUCUGCUAAAUUGUUAAAUUAUGGACAGAUCAUUCAUCAGAGUCACCAAAAAUGCUAUUGGAAAUAUUAAUAGGGAUUGCUUGAAGGUUUAAAGGUAUAUCGAAAAUAUGACGACAAUAUAUUGUUGUUUCUACAUUAGGAAAAUGCAAUGCACUUGAAGAUGAGUGUUGAACGCAUGUGUAUGCCUUCACCGUCUACUUAACAGUUUGUGAAAGCAGUAAAAGCCAUUGUUUUAUCAAAAGAAAGAUGGGUAAUAUGCUACUUCUCUUCAGUUAAAAAUUAUCUUACUCGGUGACUCAUGCGCCCACUAAAUCCUUUUUUCUUUUCUUAUUGAUUCCUCCUCCUGGAAAAAAAAAAAUGACUGUUUACAUUGGUAUUAUUUACUGCUGAUGAUAAAGUUGUUGCAUCAAGAAAUGAACAUGUGGAAUUCUUUUUGACAUAUGGGAAAUAAUUCUCCUACUAAUCUACACUUUGUAAAGUUCUAUAAUUCUUAAAUUUCUUCUUCUUUUUCUUCUUUGCAUUUUGCACUUUACACUUUGGUGGACUAUUCUGGCAAUUCCACGUGAGCUUGUGCCUGGAAGAUAAUGACACCAAGGAAAAUUACAUUUUUCACUAACAAAAAGAUUUGGCACAGAAAUUAUUUCUUUUAAAUGUUCUUUCUUACUACGAAGAACUUUAAGGAACAAUCAUUCUUCUUACUAAUCAUAGAGUUUUCAAUUUUGCAUGCCAGUUUGUAUCAAUAUGUGUCUGUUGCUAUACAUAUGCCACUGACUCAGUGAAUGACAUCUGCCGCACAGGUUAUUUUGCUAAAACUAUUUGGAGGUAUUAUACUAGCCCUGAAAUUCUUUUAUAUAACCUUUUGUCAGCAUGAUUAUUUUAGUGUUCAGUUAUGUAUUUAUUGGAAAUAAUGUAGAGCUGAUUGUGAGACUUGCUUAUUCAAUUUGUUUAACUAAAUAGCAUCUUCUGCUUUACCAACCGCAUUUCUUAUGGUUUACACUCACUGUCUUUUUCACAAUAGGAACCAGUAGUUAAUCCUUUCCUUGCUAAAUUUUCUUUAAAAUCCACUAUGCGCCAUGAACCUACAUCAACUCCUGAAAACGGUUGAGUGAAAAGAUAAAAAUAAAGUCAGCUCUGCGGUCAUCUGAGCUUCGACAAAAGGUAACAUCUUCCAUUCUGUUGGACAAUGCAAAAAAUUAUUGAAGAGAUGUUCAUCUUCGUGACUAAUCAUAUACCUUUUCUUGGCAGAGUUCUUUCAAUAUCGUGACUCUUAAAGACUUGAUCAUUCAAAGAAGGAGAAUUGGAUCUUUGAAUGGACAACCGAUAAUUUAUAAAUGAUAUUACUUUAUACAUAUUCUACCAAAAUAAGUUUACCUAAUUAUCAUAUUUUCCUACAUGCAAGCUUUUAUUCAUAUAUUGUUGCUACUUAAAAAUACUCCCGUUAAAUUGCACUUACGAUGUCAUUUCAAAAUGGAUCUAUAAAUAUUAAUAUAUAGACGCACACUCACAAUCACAUAGAACACGUACUCAUGGAGUACGAAUCAAGAUCUUAAAGAUCCUUAGGUCUCGGCUGAUGAUUUGUCUAGGAACAUUCAUGUCAUUGGUGUAUUCUUCCUACUCGAUUGAUGUUAGGAGUUUCAUUCCAUCUUGUUUUGGCAUACUGUUGAUGAUUGAGAGCUUCUUCCCUUACUCAUUUGGAGUUUAGAUUCCAGUGGCACUUUGAAACAUUCCUGCAUAUUCAAAUUUUAUACUUGUUACACGUGCUUGUUUAAGUGUAUAAAUGGAAUGUUCAGUGUGCUUUCAUUACUGUGUUCACUUUCUUUUGUGAUUUAGUUUGCAGUCAUUGAGUUUAAUCUUCCUCUUUAUAUCCAAUUUAUUUUCUCUUUUUUGUUGUUUCAUAACUCUUUCAUUAUCAUUGAUCAUUUGUGCAUACCUGAUUUUGCAGCUUCUUGAUGGAUUUUCAAACGAAUAUGACUAAUCUGUCACGAAUAAGGAAUGGCUGAAGCACCACAUAACAUUUGAUUUGCCAAAUGAAGACAUCUCGCAGGACAACAAUUUCAGUGUAAUUCGAAAUGCUCUCUACAUUUGAGUGAAAAUGAAAGGGGCUAAAGUCCGGCCAGAAAGUCCUGAGGAGCUCCUUAUAGAAUCUAUUGCCUUUGCAAGUGUAUUCAAUUCCCGAAAAAAGCCAAGGGUUUAACAUGUGGAAGAAGAGAACAUAUCCUGAAUUCCUUCAAAUGCUUAUGUGAGGCACGAGUUGAUUCUUCUGGUACUCUUUCGGACCAGUUGAAAGAUAGUACUAUAUACUUUGAUAGUAAUUCUAAUUUCUACCAUCUUACACAUAUUUGUAUCGGCAGAUGUUACUGCAAACCCAUACGUUUUUUAGGUAACAUAUUUGUGGUCUUUUAUUUCUCUUUUGAGUACAACUCAGCAAUA